GCCAUCUAGGGGAGGGGGUGGGGGGAAGCAUAGAGAUCUGGGCCUGAACUCAGUAAGAUUUAUCAUCAUGAGUUCAAACCCUAGCUCAAGACACUUUGGCUGGGUGACUGGGCAAGUCACUUAAUCUUGUUCACCUGAGUCUCCUACUCUGUAAAAUGAGCUACGGAAGGAAACAGCCAAUCACGGACAUGACAAUACUCUGCAUGCCCUUUGCCUAUAUCUAGUUAUUUACACGUUGCCUACUGGCCAUUAGAAUGUAAGAUCCUUAAGCGCAAGGGGCCUUUCUUUCUAUCCCCAGGGCUCAGCUAAUAACGCGCACAUAGUAGGGCCUUAUUAAAUGCUUGUUGAUUGACUGGUUGGUCCGAGAGAGUCCUCCUCCGUCCAUUCCCGUUUUUGGUGACUCAGACUACUCCUCUCGGCUAGUGAAGACUCAUUGGAACAACCCCCGCCCCAAAGCCUCCCCAAAGGGCAGCGUUAAAUCCAAGGCCCCACCCCAACCUUGGGGGGUGGGGUGGGGUGGGGUGGGGUGGGGUGGGGGUGGGACUCAAGCUAGACCCCCCAGGGCUGGGAUCGUCUCCCCGGCAGUCAACAGCAGGCGUCCGGAAAUGGCCCCGGAUUAAAAUCAUGGGAACGCGGCCAGAACCCACAGCAGUCGGGAGCUGGGCCCGGACGCCCUCGUCUUCCCAAGGAAAGGUGUCCGGGAACCAACGGGUCCUUCCCGUCCCCCACUAAGCAAGGGAGCCAGUUCCGCCAAAAGCGGGAGAGGUCCUCAGCCCACCUGCCCACCUCCCGGCCCGCCCCCGAACUGACCAUCUCCGGGCCAGGCUCCCUAGGAACCUCAGGGCGCGCUCACUGGGCCCUGACGUCAGGCGACAGCACAAGAGGAGACCGCAGAGCCCCGCCUCUCUCCAGCCCUGGUCCCACCUCCCUUUCUUACCCCUCGUCCCGCCAUACCCGGUCUGGACAGUGUUCGGAGCGCAUGCGCUCUGAUUGUAAAACCCAGGGUAGGAUGGACGGCUGCCCAGAGGAUCAUGCAAUGAAUUGGUUGGACAGAGAAACCCAGGAGCGUCUGUACAGGCAGGGCCAGGAGCUGCUGCAGCGGGCGCGGAGGAGAGCUGUCAACUUCCCAGUAGAGGAAGAUCUUCGGGAGAGAAAAGAAAAGUCAAUAAAACUGGAUACGGCAUUUAAAGUGAUGAAGGAAUACAUGGAUUACAUUUCAAUUCAGUGUGGGAGAUGUCAUACUCCUGCAACAGAAAAAGCGGCACUGAAUCAUGUCUGCAAAUAUCACCAAAACCAGGUGGACCCAAUGUCCUCUCCCCAGGUGAGACAGGAACAUCCAUAUUUGAUCCAGGAACAUCCACGUUUGACCCAGGAUCAUCCACUUUGGACCCAGAAUCACCCACGUUUGACCCAGAACAAGUCAGGUUUGAGUCAAAACAAGUCAGGUUUGACCUAAGACCACCUAGGUUUGAACCAGAACUCUCCACGAUUUACUCAGAACCAUCCACGAUUUACUCAGAACCAUCCACGAUUGAGUCGGAACUAUCCAUGAAUGACUCGGGACCAUCCACUAAUGACUCAGGACCAUCCACUAAUGACACGGGACCAUCCUCGCUUGGCCCAGAUCCAUCCACGCUUGCCCCGGCACCAUCCACAAUUGCCCCAGGACUAUCUACACUUACCCUGGAACCAUCCACACUUGCCCCAGGACCAUCUGGGUUUGAUUCGGGACCAUCCACACUUGGUCCAGGACCAUCCAUGCUUGGCCCAGGACCAUCCACGCUUGCCCCGGCACCAUCCACAAUUGCCCCAGGACUAUCUACACUUACCCUGGAACCAUCCACACUUGCUCCGGGACCAUCCAGGUUUGAUCCGGGACCAUCCACACUUGGCCCAGGACCAUCCACUCUUGCCCUGGGACCAUCCACAAUUGCCCCAGGACUGUCUACACUUACCUGGGACCAUCCAGGUUUGAUCCAGGACCAUCCAUGCUUGGCCCGGGACCAUCCACACUUGCCCCAGGACUAUCCACAAUCACUCCAAGACCAUCUACGCUUACCCUGGGACCAUCCAGGUUUGAUCCAGGACCAUCCACGCUUGGCCCGGGACCAUCCACGCUUGGCCCGGGACCAUCCACGCUUGCCCUGGGACCAUCCAGGUUUGAUCCAGGGGCAUCCAUGCUUGGCCCGGGACCAUCCACACUUGCCCCAGGACUAUCCACAAUCGCUCCAAGACCAUCUGCGCUUACCCCGGGACCAUCCAGGUUUGAUCCAGGACCAUCCACGCUUGGCCCGGGACCAUCCACGCUUGGCCCGGGACCAUCCACGCUUGGCCCGGGACCAUCCACGCUUAGCCCGGGAUCAUCCAGGUUUGAUCCAGGACCAUCCACGGUUGGCCUGGGACCAUCCAGGUUUGAUCCAGGGGCAUCCACACUUGGCCCAGGACUAUCCACGCUUGGCCCGGGACCAUCCACGCUUGGCCCGGGACCAUCCACGCUUGCCCCGGGACCAUCCACGCUUGGCCCGGGACCAUCCACGCUUGGCCCGGGACCAUCCACGCUUGGCCCGGGACCAUCCACUCUUGCCCCAGGACCAUCCACAAUUGCCUCAAGACCAUCUAUGAUUACCCUGGGACCAUCCAGGUUUGAUCCAGGGCCAUCUACGUUUGGCCCGGGACUAUCCACGCUUGCCCUGGGACCAUCUAGGUUUGAUCCGGGACCAUCCACACUUGGCCCGGGACCAUCCACGCUUGCCCCGGGACCAUCCAGGUUUGAUCUAGAACCAUCCACACUUGGCCCGGGAUCAUCCAGGUUUGAACCAGGACCAUCCAGGUUUGAUCUGGGACCAUCCACACUUGGCCCGGGACCAUCCAGGUUUGAUCCAGGACCAUCCAGGUUUGAACCGGAACCAUCCAGGUUUGAACCAGGACCAUCCAGGUUUGAACCGGGACCAUCCAGAUUUGAUCCGGGACCAUCCAGGUUUGCUCCGGGAUCAUCCAGGUUUGAACCGGGACAAUCCAGGUUUGAUCCGGGACCAUCCAGGUUUGCUCCGGGAUCAUCCAGGUUUGAACCGGGACCAUCCAGCUUUGAUCCGGGACCAUCCAGGUUUGCUCCGCAAUCAUCCAUGCUUGCUCCGGGACCAUCCAAGUUUGAUCCAGGACCAUCUACACUUGCCCCGAGACCAUCUGCCCCAGGACCAUCCAGGUUUGAUCCGGGAUCAUCCAGGUGUGACUCAAGACUAUUCAAGUCUGUGGGCAGGACAAGUUCCAAGGACAUCACGAUAAAGGUUUUUCCAGGGACCUAUGCUGUCACAGUGGGGUCCCCUAAUGUAACCACAACGCACAUGAUAGAGAUUGACUCAGGACAAAUCAUCGAUUUGAAUUUCCCCCUUUGAUACUAGUCAACCCUCUUCUUUUAAAUAGCGAAGAGAAUUAACCAAGCCACGAUGUGGUCCUCUUUGUUGUCACUAUUUGUACACAAAUAGUACAACUAUGAAGUGCCUUCAGUUCCCCCAAGAGCUCUGUUCUGUCUUGGAGACUGUUUUAGUUUUAACCUCAAGUGCUCUGAAAGGGGAGAGGAUGGAUGUAUCUCUUGUUUCCCUGGUCUAAAUAUAAGGAAUAAUGUGCCUUGAAA